rnacentral:sRNA from 2 species
CGGGCUGAAACGCCGAGUCCUGCCCCCGGUCUGACGCUCCCUCCGACAUGCCGGGGCAGGAGCGGGGGACCCAUGGUUCCGCCGGGCAAGGCCGGUUGACCGGCCGAGCCCUUGGGGUGAAGUCGCCGUCCCGAGGCGACCGGGCUACGUGAACCCAGCCCGAACCCGACAGCUGACCUCGCAGGCGUCAGGGAAGGACGA